GCGGCCCGGCGGCUGGGGCGCACCCCCCUGGCCUGGUGGCCCCAGACCCGCCUGAGCUGGUGGCUGGAGGGAGGCCACACUGGAAGGAGUAGGAGGCCUGUGCAUGGUUGAAAACACACUUUGAUUCUGUACCUGGGGAGCGCAGUCGUUUCCCUCGGUGCCAACCCCCAAUAUUGGAUAGUCCUUGGAUGUAACGGUGAUUGUGGCUUGGACCCCGCCAGCCAAAUCAGGGCCUGAAAGAGCGAGUGCUAAAUGUGAGGAAAACGGGAAGGAGCGUCCUGGCGGGGCCACGUGAGAAUCUUAGCAGUGAUUGGAAAUAAACUCUUGCCCUGGAAUAAUCUUGACAAUUGAAACUGACAUGUUUACUUUUUUGUAUUGAUCCCUUUUUUUGCACUCCUUGUUUUCAAUGUUGUAUUCAGCCCCUGGUGGCGGGGACACGGCUGUGCAGCGCAUACAAGACGGAGAGACAGUUUCAAGCGGACGGGCACACGUUGCCGACGGAGCACCGAGGUAUCGGAGGGCGGGCCCGCCUGCCGGUCACCGCAGGCAGAUUCGGCGUCCGGAGAACCGGCACCCUCGCCCUUCCCCGUUUACCGGAAAAGCUUCUGAAAACCCAGGUGUCGCCCGUGGUCGGCAUCGGACAGCUUCGUGGACCAGUCAGCAGCCACGUCCGUCACUCGCUCUCCACACAAGGUGCCGCGCUCGUGCUCCGAGGUGCCCGUCUUCCGCAGCCAGGAGCCUUCGUUUCCGGGGACGCCCCGCGCCACGCCCGCAGGGCGGAGUCCCCCGCUGGUUGGAGACAGGCAGCUUUCUUGAGACUCUGCUACUCUCAUCUGCCCGUGGUCCGUCCGCCGGCUCACCUGCCGCCUGUUCUAGAAGGAUCACCGCCUGGCCCCGCGGUGGCCUGAGCCUCUUCAUGGCUGUCCUCCCUUGGGGACUCAAGGUUCUGAUAAGAAAAUGUCACCCGCUUAGCUUCCUGCAGAGACCCGCAGGUUUCCACGGUGACACGGAUGGAAACAUUGAAAGGGCACGACCCCGCCCGGAUUGGCAGGUUUCUAUGGUGACACGGAUAGAAACAUUGAAAGGGCACCAUGUCUCCGCCCAGAUUUGUGAGUUUCCAUGGUGACACGGAUGGAAGCCUUGAAAGGGCAUGUCUCCGCCCAGAUUGGCGGGUUUCCAUGGUGACACGGAUGGAAACAUUGAAAGGGCACCAUGUCCCAGGCCCGAUUCCCAGGUUUCCAUGGUGACACGGAUGGAAACCUUGAAAGGGCAUGUCCCCGCCCGGAUUUGCGGGUUUCCAUGGUGACACGGAUGGAAACAUUGAAAUGGCAUGUCUCCGCCCAGAUUGGCGGGUUUCCAUGGCGACACGGAUGGAAACAUUGAAAUGGCAUGUCUCCGCCCAGAUUGGCGGGUUUCCAUGGCGACACGGAUGGAAACAUUGAAAUGGCAUGUCUCCGCCCAGAUUGGCGGGUUUCCAUGGCGACACGGAUGGAAACAUUGAAAUGGCAUGUCUCCGCCCAGAUUGGCGGGUUUCCAUGGCGACACGGAUGGAAACAUUGAAAUGGCAUGUCUCCGCCCAGAUUGGCGGGUUUCCAUGGCGACACGGAUGGAAACAUUGAAAUGGCAUGUCUCCGCCCAGAUUGGCGGGUUUCCAUGGCGACACGGAUGGAAACAUUGAAAUGGCAUGUCUCCGCCCAGAUUGGCGGGUUUCCAUGGCGACACGGAUGGAAACAUUGAAAUGGCAUGUCUCCGCCCAGAUUGGCGGGUUUCCAUGGUGACACGGAUGGAAACCUUGAAAGGGCAUGUCCCCGCCCAGAUUCUGGUUUCCAUAGUGACAUGCAUGGAAACAUUGACAGGGCAUGUCCCUGCCCAGAUUGGCGGGUUUCCAUGGUGACAAGAAUGGAAACAUUGAAAGGGCACCAUGUUCCAGGCCUGGAUUCCUGCGUUUCCAUGGUGACAAGGAUGGAAACAUUGAAAGGGCACCAUGUUCCAGGCCUGGAUUCCUGGGUUUCCAUGGUGACAAGGAUGGAAACAUUGAAAGGGCACCAUGUUCCAGGCCUGGAUUCCUGGGUUUCCAUGGUGACAAGGAUGGAAACUUUGAAAGGGCACGUCCUGGCCCAGCUUUGCGGCCUGUGCCUGAUGCCCCCGGCCUGAGACCCCGGCACGGGAGGCAGCUGGCGGCCUCUGCCGCCUCGUCCCUCACGGCAGCUGGGACGUGGACCAGCCUCGUCAGCAGGACACUGCUUCCCGCUCCGGGGCCGCUCGGACGGUGCCCGGCCCAGAGGGGUGUCCCCAGGUCUGAGAGUGGCCGUGUCUUUCUCUUCUUUGGUCUCUGACGAGCACACAGCCCUCUGUGGUGCAAGUGAUUUUCUUGUCUAGUAGCAGUUCCGCUUUUGACUGGCCUCUGCAUGUGCCCCCCGACCCACCGCGGGGCCCCCGAAACACAGGCCCGGCCUCGGGCUGCACCGUGGGCCAGUCCGUGGAGGGGAAACUGUUACUCCACAGGCCACUCUGGUUGUUUUCUGUGCCUGUCCAUUUAUGCAGAUGAAGAAGUUUUAGUAAGACGUUUUUAGCUAUAGUUACUCAAUUGUGUUUUCUUUUUUGUACCCAGUUUAUCUUUCAUAGCAUUGACCUUAGGCGGGCCUCCCAUUGUGCUGGCGGGCGCUGCCCGGACCACCGCGGGACUGACUCUGCCGCUGCCGCCCCUCACUGGCUGGAGGCGAACCUGAGCCCGGGCCAGGUCCCGGCCGUUCCUGUUGAGUAGACCAGGCCCAGCAGUGAGACGGGGCCCGCCCCCCUCCCCCGUAGAUGGCUAGUGUUUGCGGCAUUUCAUAUUUAUACGCACGCGUUUUUAUUUAAAGGACAGCAGGAGCCCGACUCUGACUCAGUUUUGCAUGUAGCUGUGUGCCCGGCCCUUGGUACCUUCCCGGCCUCCAUGAAUGGAUGGCGAGUGCAGGUUUGGCACAGGGCGUCCUCGCCCUGCCCGGCUGGGAGGGCCACCUGACAGCAGCCGGUCCCUGGACGAGGCAGUGUCCACCCGCCAGCCAGGGGCUGAAGACAUUCGGCCUUUAUUUUUGUAUUUCGGUGACAUGAAUGUAAACGGGACAGCUCAGGGUCGUUUGGAGCCUGUUGAGUUUUUAUCUGCCUGUGAUUUCUUUUCUUUUUAAGUGAUACUCGUGUCACAGCCUGGACUACAUCGAGAAGGAAGACGCCGGUGUUUUGGGUGUCGCGCCCCCAGCAUGCUGGGGGCCAGAGUUCCAGGAUGCUUUUUUGUUUGCUAAACUUUGAAGAAAUAUGUGCCUCAGUCUAGAAGUUUUGUCUUCUCUCCUCUGCACGUGACACCUGGCAGUUUGACCAGCCGUCUCACCUUUCAGGGGUGGGACUCGCUCGCAGGAGUUUGAUGUCGGCGAGCGCGGUCCGGCGUGCAGAGGCGCAGGGACAAGCUCUACUCAUGUGCUUUGCUCCUCUGUACAUAGCUCCUCAGCUCAUGAACCUAAGUAUACACUUUCAGGUAUUUUUGUACCAAUAAGGGACUGGUGAUCUGUUUCUUGUAAUUUGAAAUAAACAUUAAUAAACAUACAGUGUUCUUCAUUUUC